rnacentral:rRNA from 1 species
ACUCAAAUGAAUAGACGGGGGCCCGCACAAGCGGAGGAACAUGUGGUUUAAUUCGAUGAUACGCGAGGAACCUUACCCGGGAUUGAAAUGGAGUGGAAUAAGAGUGAGAGCUUUUAGUCAGCAAUGACCACUUUGUAGGUGCUGCAUGGUUGUCGUCAGCUCGUGCCGUGAGGUGUCGGCUUAAGUGCCAUAACGAGCGCAACCCUGACUGUCAGUUGCUAACAGGUCGUGCUGAGGACUCUGACGGGACUGCCGGCGUAAGCUGUGAGGAAGGUUGGGAUGACGUCAAAUCAGCACGGCACUUACAUCCGGGGCGACACACGUGUUACAAUGGGAGGGACAAAGGGCAGCUACCCGGCGACGGGAUGCCAAUCUCUAAACCCUCUCUCAGUUCGGAUCGGAGUCUGCAACCCGACUCCGUGAAGCUGGAUUCGCUAGUAAUCGCGCAUCAGCCAUGGCGCGGUGAAUACGUUCCCGGGCCUUGCACACACCGCCCGU